GGGGCUAUGGGGUAGCUUGGACCAUCCUUUCUGGUUUGGGCUUGCAGAGAAACAAAAGCUCUGCAGAAAAAAACCAGAUGACCCCGGUUCAAAUCCGGGUAGCCCCA
rnacentral:tRNA from 1 species